rnacentral:snRNA from 1 species
CUGUACUUCCACAGUAUAAAUAUACUAAAAUUGGAACGAUACAGAAAAGAUUGGCAGGGCCCCUGCGCAAGGAUGACACGCAAAAUCGUGAAGCGUUCCACAUUUUA